rnacentral:rRNA from 1 species
GUGCCAGCAGCUGCGGUAAUACGGAGGGUGCAAGCGUUAAUCGGAAUUACUGGGCGUAAAGCGCACGCAGGCGGUCUGUUAAGUCAGAUGUGAAAUCCCCGGGCUCAACCCGGGAACUGCAUUCGAAACUGGCAGGCUGGAGUCUCGUAGAGGGGGUAGAAUUCCAGGUGUAGCGGUGAAAUGCGUAGAGAUCUGGAGGAAUACCGGUGGCGAAGGCCGGCCCCCGUGGACGAAGACUGACGCUCAGGUGACGAAAGCGUGGGAGAC